rnacentral:rRNA from 1 species
AGAGUUUGAUCCUGGCUCAGGACGAACGCUACAGUGCUUAACACUACAAGUCAGAACGGAAAGCCUAGCUUGCUAGGUACUCAGGAGUGGCAAACGGGUGAGUAGCUGCGUGGGUGAUCUGCCUCUGUACUUCAGGAUAAGCCUGGGAAACCGGGUCUAAUACUGAUAGGACCAUGCUUUAGUGUGUGGUGGAAAGUUUUCGGUACGAUGUAUCCGCGGCCUAUCAGCUUGUUGGUGGGCAAUGGCCCUACGGAAGGCGUCGACGGUAGCUGGCCUGAGAGGGUGACACGGCCACAUUGGGACUGGAGGUACCUGGCCCGACUCCACCGGGAGGCAGCAGUGAAGGAUUGCACAAUGGGCGCAAGCCUGAUGCAGCGACGCCGCGUGAUGAUGGCUUCGGGUUGCAAACCCUUCGCCAGGGACCAGUUUUCGUGACGGCCCUAGACUACGAAACUCGGCUAACUACAGCCAGCAGCCGCGGUAAUACGUAGGUGCGAGCUGCUGUCCGGAAUUAUCAGCGCAAGAGCCGUAGGUGGUGGUUUGUCGUCGUCCAGAAAUCGGGCCUAACUUCGGGCGCAGGCGAUACGGCACAAUGUGCCGUAGGGGAGACUGGAAUUCCUGAGCGGUGGAAUGCGCGAUAUCAGGAGGGACACCGAUGGCAAGCAGGUAUCCGGGCAGUAACCGACUGAGGAGCCGAAAGCAUGUGGUUUACGAGAUUGAGUACCCUGAGAAUUCCAUGCCGUAAACCGUGGCGCUAGGUGUGAGGGCUUCCACGACUUUCGUGCCGCAACGCAUUAAUGCGCCCGCCACAGAAUUACGCCCGCAAGGCUAAAAGCUCAAAGGAAUGACAAAGGGCCCCGCACAAGCGGCCGGAGGUGGAUUAAUCAGAGUACAACGCAGAACUCACCUGCUUGACAUAUGCAGGAUCGGCGUAGUGAUACGUUUCCUUGUGGUCUGUAUACGGGUGGUUGCAUGGUUGUCGUCAGCUCGUGUCGUUGGAGAUGCUGGUUAAGUCCCAACGAGGCGCAACCCUUGUCUUAUGCUUGCCAGCACAUGGUGGGACUCAUGAGAGACUCGCCGGGUUAACUGGAGAAGGUGGAUGACGCGUCAAAUCAUCAUGCCCUUAUGUCCAGGGCUUCACACGCUACAAAUGAGCGGCAACGCGCUGCGAGCCCAGUGAGCAGAACCGCUGAAAGCCGGCUCCAGUUCGAUUGGGGUCUGCAACUCUGACCCCUGAAGUCGGAGUCGCUUAGUAAUCGCAGAUCAGCAACGCUGCGGUGAAUACGUUCCAGGCCUUGCACACCGCCCGUCACGUCAUGAAAGUUGGUAACACCCGAAGCCAGUGGCUAACCCCUUGUGGGGGAGCUGUCGGUAAUGGAUCGUGACGAAGUCGUAAUAGGAGCCGUACCGGAAGGUGCGGCUG